AAUCCAGAGAUGGAUUUGUGCCUUCGGGAACUGUGAGACAGGUGCUGCAUGGCUGUCGUCAGCUCGUGUUGUGAAAUGUUGGGUUAAGUCCCGCAACGAGCGCAACCCUUAUCCUUUGUUGCCAGCGGUUAGGCCGGGAACUCAAAGGAGACUGCCAGUGAUAAACUGGAGGAAGGUGGGGAUGACGUCAAGUCAUCAUGGCCCUUACGACCAGGGCUACACACGUGCUACAAUGGCGCAUACAAAGAGAAGCGACCUCGCGAGAGCAAGCGGACCUCAUAAAGUGCGUCGUAGUCCGGAUUGGAGUCUGCAACUCGACUCCAUGAAGUCGGAAUCGCUAGUAAUCGUAGAUCAGAAUGCCACGGUGAAUACGUUCCCGGGCCUUGUACACACCGCCCGUCACACCAUGGGAGUGGGUUGCAAAAGAAGUAGGUAGCUUAACCUUCGGGAGGGCGCUUACCACUUUGUGAUUCAUGACUGGGGUGAAGUCGUAACAAGGUAACCGUAGGGGAACCUGCGGUUGGAUCACCUCCUUACCUUAAAGAA
rnacentral:rRNA from 1 species